AAUCAACGCUGGCGGCGUGCCUAACACAUGCAAGUCGAACGCGAAAGCCCCGCAAGGGUAAGUAGAGUGGCAAACGGGUGAGUAACACGUGGGUGAUCUGCCUCAGAGUGGGGGAUAACGACCCGAAAGGGUCGCUAAUACCGCAUAACAUCCUGCCUUUGGAUAGGUGGAGAUCAAGUUGGGGAUCCGCAAGGACCUGACGCUUGGAGAGGAGCCCGCGGCCGAUUAGCAGUUGGUGAGGUAAUGGCUCACCAAGGCUACGAUCGGUAUCCGGCCUGAGAGGGCGGACGGACACACUGGGACUGAGACACGGCCCAGACUCCUACGGGAGGCAGCAGUGGGGAAUUGUUCGCAAUGGGCGCAAGCCUGACGACGCAACGCCGCGUGGAGGACGAAGAUUUCGGAUCGUAAACUCCUUUCGAUCGGGAAGACAGCUUUCGGGUUAAUAGCCUGAGAGUCUGACGGUACCGAGAGAAGAAG
rnacentral:rRNA from 1 species